rnacentral:rRNA from 1 species
UACAGAGGGUGCGAGCGUUAAUCGGAAUUACUGGGCGUAAAGCGUGCGUAGACGGCUAUCUAAGUCGGGUGUGAAAGCCCCGGGCUCAACCUGGGAAUUGCAUUCGAGACUGAAUAGCUAGGGUGCGGUAGAGGGAAGCGGAAUUUCCGGUGUAGCGGUGAAAUGCGUAGAUGUCGGAAGGAACAUCAGUGGCGAAAGCGGCUUCCUGGACCAGCACCGACGUUCAGGCACGAAAGCGUGGGGAGCAAACAGG